rnacentral:misc_RNA from 1 species
GGAGGAAGAAGAAGGAAAACAGAAUCAAAUUUCUUCCUUCUUUUUGUUUAUUAAUUUAUUUUUGUGCAAUGGCUACUCUCAUUCCCCCGUCAGUUAUAGUUCCACCGGCGAAUUCAAAGUCGGCGGCUGUCGAAUCGGAGAAAGAGAAAGUUGAUUACCUGAACUUGCCUUGUCCAAUUCCUUAUGAAGAAAUCCAUCGUGAAGCUCUCAUGUCUUUAAAGCCCGAGCUUUUUGAAGGACUGCGCUUUGAUUUUACCAGAGGACUUAAUCAGAGAUUUUCACUGAGUCAUAGUGUUUUUAUGGGGCCUACAGAACUUCCUACUCAGUCUGCUGACAUCGUCAAAAUACCAACUGCGCACUAUGAGUUUGGUGCCAACUUU